UACAGAGGGGGCAAGCGUUAUUCGGAAUUAUUGGGCGUAAAGAGCUCGUAGGCGGCUUGUUGCGUCGUCCGUGAAAACCUGUGGCUCAACUACAGGCUUGCGGUCGAUACGGGCGGGCUGGAGUUCGGUAGGGGAGACUGGAAUUCCUGGUGUAGCGGUGAAAUGCGCAGAUAUCAGGAGGAACACCGGUGGCGAAGGCAGCUCGCUGGGACGUUACUGACGCUGAGACGCGAAAGCCAGGGGAGCAAACGGG
rnacentral:rRNA from 1 species